GACGAACGCUGGCGGCGUGCUUAACACAUGCAAGUCGAACGGAAAGGCCCUGCUUUUUUGGGGUGCUCGAGCGGCGAACGGGCGAGUAACACGUGAGUAACAUGCUCCUUACUUUGGGAUAACUUCAGGUAAAUGGGGCAAAUACCGGAUCGGAGCUCCUGAUGCAUGGUGGGGGUUGGAAAGUUUCGGCGGGUGGGGAUGGAUUCGCGGCUUAUCAGCUUGUUGGUGGGGGAGUGGCUUACCCAGGCUCUGACGGGUCGCCGGCCUGAGAGGGUGACCGGCCACAAUGGGACUGAGAGACGGCCCAGACUCCUACGUGAGGCAGCAGUGGGGAGUAUGGCACAAUGGGCGGAAGCGUAAGGCAGCAACGCCGGGGGUGUGAAGUCGGCCUUCGGGGUAGGAACCGCGUUCGCCUAAGACGAAGCGUGAUUGACGUUAAUGGGUAAAGAAGCACCGGCUAACUACGUG
rnacentral:rRNA from 1 species